rnacentral:rRNA from 1 species
AUUGAACGCUGGCGGCAGGCCUAACACAUGCAAGUCGAGCGAGCGGCGGACGGGUGAGUACUGUCUGAUAAACUGCCUGAUGGUGGGGGAUAACUACUGGAAACGGUAGCUAAUACCGCAUACCAUCAGAUGUGCCCAGAUGGGAUUAGCUAGGAGGUGGGGUAAAGGCUCCCCUAGGCGACGAGCCCUAGCUGGUCUGAGAGGAUGAACAGCAACAAGGGAACUGAGACACGGUCCAGACUCCUACGGGAGGCAGCAGUGGGGAAUAGUGCACAAUGGGCGCAAGCCUGAUGCAGCCAUGCCGCGUGUAUGAAGAAGGCCUUCGGGUUGUAAAGUACUGUCAGCGGGGAGGCGUUACCCGCAGAAGAAGCACCGGCUAACUCCGUGCCAGCAGCCGCGGUAAUAC